UACGAAGGGGGCUAGCGUUGCUCGGAAUUACUGGGCGUAAAGGGCGCGUAGGCGGGACGACAAGUCGGGGGUGAAAGCCCGGGGCUCAACCUCGGAAUUGCCUUCGAAACUGUCGACCUAGAGUACGGGAGAGGUGUGUGGAACUCCGAGUGUAGAGGUGAAAUUCGUAGAUAUUCGGAAGAACACCAGUGGCGAAGGCGACACACUGGCCCGUUACUGACGCUGAGGCGCGAAAGCGUGGGGAGCAAACAGG
rnacentral:rRNA from 1 species